AUGGCAGCCAUACUUGAAUCUUUGCUUGGAUCAUGUGCCAGUAAGUUGCAAAAUAUCAUUACAGAUGAGGCCAUACUAAUCCUUGGGGUGGAAGACGAUCUCAGAGAAGUCCUGCGACGAGUAGAACUAAUACAAUGUUGCAUAUAUGAUGCUGAGAAAAGGAGGACAAAAGAGCUAGCAGUAAACAAUUGGCUCGGCCAACUGAGAGAUAUUAUAUAUGAUGUUGAUGAAAUCCUGGACGUGGCUAGGUGUAAAGGAAGCAAGCUACUGCCUGAUGAUCCUUCAUCAUCAUCAAGCCUCUCAGUUUCCUCUUGCUUUUGUAACAUUGGAUCACGUCGUGAUGUUGCUGUUCGGAUUAGAAGCCUCAACAAAAAGAUUGAGAACAUUGCAAAUGACAAGAUAUUCUUCACAUUCAACAAUAGUACACAGCCUCCUGGAAAUGGUCCAACAUCCAGACUGAUAAGAAGUUCCAACCUUGUUGAGCCCAACCUUGUGGGAAAGGAGAUCAUACAUUCCAGCAGGAAGUUGGUGGACUUGGUGCUUGCACACAAGGAAUACAAGUCUUAUAAGCUCGGUAUUGUUGGAACGGGUGGAGUUGGAAAGACAACACUAGCUCAGAAAAUAUACAAUGACCAAAAAAUAAAAGGAAGCUUCAAUCUACAAGCAUGGAUUUGUGUUUCACGAGACUACAAUGAAGUAACUCUUCUGAAAGAGGUUCUCCGGAAUAUUGGUGUGCAUCAUGAGCAAGGUGAAACCAUAGCAGAGCUCCAAAGGAAGCUUGCAGAAACAAUUGAAGGGAAGAGUUUCUUUCUGGUUCUAGAUGAUGUCUGGCAUUCCAAUGUAUGGAUGUAUCUAUUAAGGCCUGUAUUACAUGAAACAACAUCCAGAGUAAUAUUGGUAACCACACGAGAUGAUCAAAUUACAAGGAGAAUAGGUGUAGAGCAUACCCAUCGAGUUGAUCUCAUGUCAAUAGAGGUGGGAUGGGAGCUACUUUGGAAGAGGAUUGAGAUUGUUCGUAAAUGUGGUCACCUCCCUCUUGCAAUAAAGGUUACCGCUAGUGCUUUGGCAAGCAGAGAUCUAACAGAGAAUGAUUGGAAACGGUUUUUGGGGAAAUAUGCUGGCUCCCGGAGCAUCCUCUCUGAUGAAAUAGAAGGAGCUCUGUAUCUAAGCUAUGAUGAGUUGUCGCAUCGUCUGAAACAGUGUUUCCUUUAUUGUGCUUUGUAUGGUGAAGAUUCUAUCAUUCGGCGUGAUCAAGUUACCUGGUUAUGGAUUGCUGAAGGCUUCAUCGAGGAGCAGCAAGGCCAACUACUAGAAGACAUAGCAGAAGAGUACUACUACGAGCUAAUCCAUCGAAAUCUCCUCCAGCCAUGUAAUGAAUUGUUUGGCCAGGUUGAAUGCAGAAUGCAUGACCUCUUGAGACAACUUGCUCUAAAUAUAUCAAAAGAAGAAUGCUUUAUUGGGGAUGUUGAAACAUUAAGGGGUAGAAAUAUGUUGACACUGCGACGUAUUACUGCUGUCACCAAGAAGGAUAAACUAGUGCUACCUAGGAUGGAUAAGUUUGAAGUUACGGUGAGGACUUUCCGAACUGUGAAUGGUCCACGGAGAAUUGAUGAUACAUUUUUCAAGAGAUUUCUGCUUCUUCGUGUUUUGGUACUGAAUUACUCACUUGUACAAAGCAUUCCAUACCAUAUAGGAAAACUGAUACAUCUACGCCUACUUAAUCUAGAUUAUACUGGCAUAUCUUGUCUUCCGGAAUCCAUUGGCUUGCUACAAAACCUUCAAGUACUGAGCUUGACAGGGUGUGUUGAUCUGCAGAGUCUUCCUUCAGCAUUGACCCUGUUGUGCAAUUUAAGAUGUCUUUAUCUUCUUGACACACACAUAUAUCAGGUUCCAAGAGGGAUAGGAAAACUGAAGUGCCUCACCGAAUUACGAGGAUUUUGUGUUGCUGAUGAAAGUGAAAAUGCUAAUGUACAGGAUGGAUGGAAGUUGGAAGAGUUGUCUUCUAUGUUGCAGAUAAGGCGUCUUAUUCUGGUUAAAUUGGAAAGAGCGGCUCAUGGUAGUACAAAUACAUUGUUGAUGAACAAAGCACAUCUAAAAGAACUAGUACUAUCGUGGAGUCCAUGUGGAUUGGGAUCAUAUUCAGAAGAAGUUGUUAGCAAUUCUGAGAAGGUCUUUGAGCUGCUAAUACCUCCAUGCAACCUGGAAGCCCUAUUUAUUUCACGAUUCUUUGGUCGGCGGUAUCCCACUUGGUUUGAAACCACCUGUUUGUAUUCAGUGAUUCACUUGUCCUUAGUGCAUUUACACUCAUGUGUGGAUCUUCCACCGAUUGGGCAGCUACCCAACUUGAAAUUUUUGAGAAUUGACGGAGCAGAUGCAGUUACCAAGGUCGGACCUGAAUUUGUUGGCUGCGGGAAGGGUGCUCCCAUAUGCAAUGAGUUUGUUGCUUUCCCUAAACUUGAAUGGCUAUUUCUCUUAAAUAUGUGCAACUGGGAGGAGUGGUCUUUUCUUGAGCAAGAUGUUUCUGGUGUUGAACGGGGGGAGGAUGGAGCUGCUGACAUUUGUAAAGCAUCCCAAUCUACACGGUUGCAACUAUUAUCCCGUUUGGAGAGCUUGCACGUAGUAGGUUGCCCUAAGCUGAGGGCUUUCCCGCGACAACUUGGAGAGGAUACCACAAGCUUGAAGGAGCUCAAGUUAUUUGGACUAAACAACUUGAAGGCAUUGGAGGACUUCCCACACCUCACUGAGCUCCUUCGUAUUGAGAAAUGCGAUGGCCUGGAGAGGAUCUCCAACCUCCCUCAAGUGACAGGCCUGCAAUUACAUGGCUGUCUGAACUUAAGCCAUGUAAAGGGGUUGGACAGUUUGCAGCAGCUGGGGCUGGGCGAGGAUAUGCAACAAGAGAUCUCUUCAAACUGGGUGCCUGGGCUUCAAGAGCAGCACCAGCGACUUCAUGGUGAAGAUCUGGAUGCCUACACAUGGUCUACCAGUUAG
rnacentral:rRNA from 1 species